UUGAAAGAUCCGUGUACAGGAGAC
rnacentral:siRNA from 1 species